AAAACUAACGGACACGCGAACGUGAAAUGCUGAUGCCACCGGCGACACGAAAACUACUGAGAAAUUGAGAAAAGUGUGGAGUGACUUUAAACAGCAAGAAGAAGGCAAC